AUCAACAAAGGGCAAACCUGUCGAAAGGCAGGGACGCAAAGCCAUGGGCCUAAAGCCCGACAAGGGCUAUGGUUGCCAGGUUGCCGGU
rfam:Moorella thermoacetica ATCC 39073, complete genome.